CUUUAAUUUGUGCUAUGUUUUUGAGAUGAAAAUAGGCUGAUUUAGUGAUAGUCUUUAUGUGGCUGUUAAAAUUCAGGGCUGAGUCCAUAACCCACCCAGGUUUCUGGCUUGGUCAGUGGUUUUCAGUUGGCCACUGACUUCAAGCCUCACAUUUUUGGGACCAAAUACAAUGACUUCUUUCUUUUCUGCAUUGAGCUGGAGAAAGUUCUCGCCCAUCCACUGAUUGACUUGUUGGAUACAAUAGAUCAGUGAUGAGUGACUGCAAUGGACUGUAGUCAUAUGGUGACACUGUGAUAUAGACUUGUGUCAUCGGCACAUGUGUGGUAUGAGAUGUUAGGAUACACCAUGAUCUGUGCCAGUGGGAGCAUAUAAAUAUUGAACAAAAGUGGCCUGAGGAUGGAGCCCUGGGGGACCCCAAGUCAUCUUUAUCCGCUUAUAUUCACAACUACCUAGUGAGAUGAAAAAGUUACGAUCUUCUAAACAAGAUUUGGGCCAAUAUAGCACUGUACAAGAAAGUCCAACCCACUUCUCCAGUCUGUUGAGCAACAUGUUGUGAUCAACUAUGUUGAAUGCAGCACUCAGAUCCAGAAGUACCAAUACUGAAGUUUUUGAUGCAUCAGUAUUAAGGCAUAUGUCAUUUAACACUUUACUUAGUGCAGUUUCAGUGCUGUGGUAUGGUUGAAAACCAGACUGGAAAGCAUUGAAGAGAUUGUUUUAGGUCAAGAAAGAGUGAAUUUGUUGAUAAAUAACUUUCUUAAUGAUCUUUGACAGGAACCCAAGGUUUGAUAUGGGUCUUUAGUUACUUACUACUAAAGCAUCCAGAUUAGGCUUUUUUAAACAAGGGCUGAGUACUGCAGUUUUCAAGGCCUUGGGAAAUUGUUGUGAUAAAAGAGAUGUAUUUAAUUUUUUUUUAAAUAUUUCUGGUGCAACACAAUUAAAACCACAGUUAAAGAAAAGGUACACUUUCCAACACUCGCUUAACUCCCUUAACUUAUUAUCCAUCACUGCUGUGACGAACAAACACUCCACAGACUUAUGGACCAGUGGAUGUCCAAACAUUCAUUCAGACUGGCAUUUCUUUGCAUUUAUCCAAUCUUUUACAGACAGAUAAAAAAGAUGGCCACCUUCACCUCCUCUCUCUCUCUCUCUGAGACCAAUAAAUGCUGAGGAACAGACAUCUUUUACAUUUAUUGACCUGCAUCAAUGAAAAGAUGUGUUUCCAUAACUCGUGAAAAUUAAUAUGCAUGAGCAAAAAGUUGCUUUACUCCAUUAUUGCAAUGGCUCAAACCAUAAAAUGUAAUGCAGACUGAGCUGCACAUAGCCAGGGCCAGGCUGACUACAAUAAGUCUUAUAAACACUGAAAGUCUUGACAGAGGUUUUAAAGUUCCUGAUCCUCUGAUUGCAGCUGUAACCUGCUGCAUAAAUGAGACCUCUCACUUCUGAGCAGAUGCAAUGUAAACAUCCCCCUGAGGUGAAGAGUCUUGAAAAAGUCAUGCAGAGAGUCAGAGUGAAUCCUCAUUGACUGUGACAUCUCUGUGAUUUAAAUGGAAGACCUGUGUAGCUCUGAAGUUUACCAACAUCAAAUAUAAAACAAAACAAAACCUCCUUGUUCCAGUGAGACCGCUUCGCUCUUAAAUAUUUCAAAAUCCUUCCCCCUUUUUCCUCUCGUCGGCAAUCAGGAAACAAUCUUUCCUUGUCUCUCUCCAGCUUCUUCAGGGACUCUGGGUACAGAGUGUGAGGGAAGACGUCUGAAUGCGAGAUGACUGCUCCAGAUCCGAUGGCGGAUGGGUGUAGCUGGCGGAGGGCGGUUUAAUUGGAGAUGUGGAUGGCUUCUCCUGCAGAGGGAGAAUGGGGAUGUGCGUGGCUCCCAGUGGCUCGGCGCAUCGCAUAACCAGUGACCUAGAAAAGGAACACUGAUCACUCCCCGGAGUUGACGACAGAGGAGACGCACUGCUAACGAAUGCAAGCCACUGAAGUCUGCUGCUGAUCAGAGAAAACAGAGGCAUUGUGGGUAAUCAGGACACGCAGAAGUGAAUGUGACCCUGGCACAAUGAAAGGGAAGAGAAGCAAUGAGUCACUCUGGACGACUCUGUUCAAAAAGAUAAAAUGGCCAGAAGAAAGAAAAUAGAUGAGCU